CAUGGCAUAAGACCGAGACAGCAGUCAUCGGCAGAAAGCACUCAAAGCAUAUAUCAAUUUCUUACCUUUGUGGAUGAUGAAUUUGAAAUUUUGGGAAAGGUGAUCUCUUCAACAUCCAACUGCGGAUCAAAGUACAGAUGAAGUUCAGGUCAUAGGAACAAUACAGCAACCCAGUCAAGCAAGCAUAAAAACAUAUCUCUUACCUCCAUCGAGUCACUUGAAGUGGAAACAUCACCGUCAUCGUUUUGAUCAUGCUGGAAACUCAGCUCACCAUCGUCGUUAGUGACAUUGGUAUUGCUGUCAUCAUCGUCCUCACCAU
rnacentral:lncRNA from 1 species